GCCCCGGUAGCUCAGUUGGAUAGAGCGACCGCCUCCUGAAAGCAGUAGACCACAGGGUUCGAUUCCUGUCCGGGGCG
rnacentral:tRNA from 1 species